CCCAACCCAAGAAACCCUAUCCUUUCCUCAUAAAGUAACUUAACUUCCUUUUCACUUUUAUCGUCCGAAACCCUAGAGGCAGUGGCUAGCCAGCAGGGAGAAGGAGAAGAUCAUCUAUCAUCAAAAGGCUGCCUGUUUUUGUCCUUUCUGCUUAACUUGUUAAAAUUGUUUUGAUUUUUGUGAGAGAAAGAGAAAGAGAGAGGUACACUGGUGUUGUUGACAGAAGAUAGAGAGCACAGAUGAGGAUGUGCCAUUGGAGAGUGUUUCUGCAUCUCACUCCUUUGUGCUCUUUAUGCUUCUGUCAUCUCACCUUCUUCCGCCCCUCUAUUUCUCAGUUCAUUAACAUAUUUCCUCCAUAUGGUUUUGUUGUGUAUAUGUCCUUUUGAUGACAUGCUCGAAAUGGGUUUUCUUUUUUAUUAUUUUUCUUGUUUUGUUCAGUGAAAUCUAGCUAAUUUGGGAUUUGUCCACCAUUCAAGCUUUAGGCCUUUCUUGCGCGCUGAACAUUUUUUUCUUUGAACAAGCUAAUUAUUCCUCACUCACUUGAGUUAUGUAUAAUUUAUACCUUGUUCUUCAGUUCCCUUUUUGCAGUCCGCUACUGGAGAAGGAAGGAAGAGAGCAACUUAGACAGUUUUCUGUUCUGAUCCUAAUUGCAAGUGAACUGGCAUAUGAUGUUAUCCCAAACAUUCGGGAGCCAGACUAACAGCUUUGGCGCAGAGAAUUUCAUGAGGAAGAGGGGAGGUCAUGUAUGCAAGUAUUGCUACUUCCGGUAAUAUUAACUGGACUCUCAUCUAUCACUCACCGACAAUAGAGAAGUUAGUUUUCACAAGCGGCCUUGAGGCAUUUACAACAGUUUGUUUGGUUCAUUCGUACACACUUGUUGCUAAAUUCACAUUGUCUGCAGAAAAUACACUGGCUGGCGGGGUUUUGCAAUGAAAAUCCAUCACCCUAAUCAACAUUAAGUCCCUAACUGAUGAUAGAUCAGAAUAAUUAGCAUGCAUGCAAAUCUUGGGCUAGUGUUUCGAUUGGAGUGUCACAAGCACGCUAUGGAAUGGAGAGUACUUGAGGAAAGUCAAGAUUAAAGGUAAAGAAAGGUAUCUUAGAAUCCUUGUUCACUCAGCUUAUUGUCAUCACUGUCAUUUUCCACUUAUCAUCACCUCGGAAUCCCCAAGUUGAUGAUUGGUCAUGCAUUUCAAGACCUCUCAGCUGUACGUUUUCACUUUGAUUUAUACUUUUUUUUACGUGCCUUGACAUAUUUAUGGGAUAGAUUUUGCCACUAAAAAUUACAUGAAAGUGAAAGAAUAUCAUGACAAAACCGAUAGUCAUAUUUAUGUAGACAAAGAUUUCCACCCCAUGUAGGUUUUUUAAUUGUUCCGCUCUAGUUCUCAUUGCUCGCCCUUUUCAAUUUAUGAUUAAUACAGUCUAAUGGCGUGUGCUAGGUUUCCCAGGGAAUGCGAUUUCUCGUAGUAUCUACAUCUAUAUAGAGAUUGACUGACAGACUAUAGGUCUAUAAGAAAAGAAAUUGUCUAUAGGCCUUCCAUUUUCGUCAAAGAGGUGCAUCGAGACGUGAAGUGCUAUGAGUUUAGAGCAUGGACCAUGCUUUACGAAAAUCGAAGAGAUUGCUUUUGAGGCUCUAGUCUGUUUGACAUUGCUCCCCAGGCCCUACAAACAUUAUCUUUUGGUUUUGGUCAAUUAUGAUGUGGAAAUCAUUACGCUGCUCAGCUCAUGAACCGUGUAAGUCGCGAGCCAAAAUCUCUGUAGCUCAAACAUGAAAAAUUUGAACACCGGGAUUUAGGAAAUCAAAAGGGACAGUGUUUAAAAUUCGUUGGCUGUGGUGGAGAAGAGGGGUUAACAGACUUGAGAUUGCUCUAACGCUGGUUUUACAUGGCAAAUCUGAACAAGAAGAAAGUGUGGAACAUUUUAGAACGCGGCAGGUUAUGAUUCUUUGAUGAAACUGGUGUUAAUAGUUGAAUAAUUUUCCUAAGAUGUAUCCAUGAGACAAUGUUUAAGCUGUCUAUGGUACAUGAUUAAGC